GUGGAACGACAUUUAUUGGAUAUUUCAAACUUUUUUAACAAAUCAAAAACUGAAAAAUUGGGCGUGCAAAAUUAUUCAGCCCCCUUAAGUUAAUACUUUGUAGCGCCACCUUUUGCUGCGAUUACAGCUGUACGUCGCUUGGGGUAUGUCUCUAUCAGUUUUGCACAUCGAGAGACUGAAGGUAGUUUAUAUCUAGGUAGUUUAUAUUUAUAUCUGUACAGUUUAUACCUAGGUAGUUUUUCUUUAUAUCUAGGUAGUUUAUAUCUAGGUAGUUUAUAUUUAUAUCUAUAUAGUUUAUAUCUAGGUAGUGUAUAUCUAUAUAGUUUAUCUUUAUAUCUAGGUAGUUUAUCUUUAUAUCUAGGUAGUUUAUCUUUAUAUCCAGGUAGUUUAUCUUAAUAUCUAGGUAGUUUAUCUUUAUAUCCAGGUAGUUUAUAUCUAGGUAGUUUAUCUUUAUAUCUAUGCAGUUUAUAUCUAGGUAGUUUAUCUUAAUAUCUAGGUAGUUUAUCUUUAUAUAUAGGUAGUUUAUAUGAUGUAGUUUAUCUUUAUAUCUAGGUAGUUUAUAUCUAUAUAGUUUAUCUUUAUAUCUAGGUAGUUUAUAUCUAGGUACUUUAUAUUUAUAUCUAGGUAGUUUAUAUUUAUAUCUAUAUAGUUUAUAUCUAGGUAGUUUAUAUCUACAUAAUUUAUCUUUAUAUCUAGGUAGUUCAUAUCUAGGUAGUUUAUAUUUAUAUCUGGGUAGUUUAUCUUUAUAACUAGGUAGUUCCUAUCCAGGUAGUUUAUAUCUACAUAAUUUAUCUUUAUAUCUAGGUAGUUCAUAUCUAGGUAGUUUAUAUUUAUAUCUGGGUAGUUUAUCUUUAUAACUAGG
ensembl:lncRNA